AGAGUUUGAUCCUGGCUCAGGACGAACGCUGGCGGCGUGCUUAACACAUGCAAGUCGAACGAUGAAGGGGAGCUUGCUCCCUGGAUUAGUGGCGAACGGGUGAGUAACACGUGAGCAACCUGCCCCUAACUCUGGGAUAACGCUUCGAAAGGAGUGCUAAUACCGGAUAUGAGCCUGGAAGACAUCUUCUGGGUUGGAAAGUUUUUCGGUUAGGGAUGGGCUCGCGGCCUAUCAGCUUGUUGGUGAGGUAAAGGCUCACCAAGGCGACGACGGGUAUCCGGCCUGAGAGGGCGACCGGACACACUGGGACUGAGACACGGCCCAGACUCCUACGGGAGGCAGCAGUGGGGAAUAUUGCGCAAUGGGCGAAAGCCUGACGCAGCGACGCCGCGUGAGGGAUGAAGGUCUUCGGAUUGUAAACCUCUUUCAGCAGGGACGAAGCGAAAGUGACGGUACCUGAAGAAGAAGCACCGGCUAACUACGUGCCAGCAGCCGCGGUAAUACGUAGGGUGCAAGCGUUGUCCGGAUUUAUUGGGCGUAAAGAGCUCGUAGGCGGUUAGACACGUCGGAUGUGAAAACUGGGGGCUCAACCCCCAGCCUGCAUUCGAUACGGUCUGACUAGAGUGUGGUNNNGGUAACUGGAAUUCCUGGUGUAGCGGUGAAAUGCGCAGAUAUCANNNNNAACACCGAUGGCGANNNCAGGUUACUGGGCCACCACUGACGCUG
rnacentral:rRNA from 1 species